rnacentral:tRNA from 1 species
GAGAGGGAGAACAAGUGAUUGCUAAUCACUUAAACCAGGUUUAAUCACCUGGCCCUCUCA